GUGAGGGUGACCGAGCGUGGGGAGGAAGCGUGGAGCGAAACCGUGAGCCGAUGUACAAGAACCGGAUAGAAGGUGGUG
rfam:Candidatus Burkholderia crenata strain TZHbot9 BCREchr_ctg154, whole genome shotgun sequence.